rnacentral:rRNA from 1 species
AAUGAACGCUGGCGGCAUGCCUAACACAUGCAAGUCGAACGAGCCCUUCGGGUCCUGUGGCGUAUGGGUGCGUAACGCGAGGGAACCUGAACUUAGGUUCGGCAUAACUCUCCGAAUGGGAUGAUAAUACCGGAUCAUGUCUUCGGCCCAAGGAUAUAUCGCAUUUGGAUGUGCAGUCGUUGGAUUAGCUAGUUGGUAGGGUAAAAGCAUAACACGGGGACAAUGCAUAGCUGGUUUGAGAGGAUGAUCAGCCACACUGGGACUGAGACACGGCCUAGACUCCUACGCGAGGCAGCAGUGGGUGAUAGUGGACAAUGGGCGAAGGGCUGAUCCAGCUAUGCCGCGUGAGUGAUGUAGGCCUGAGAGUUGAAAAGCGCUAUUACCCGGGAUGAUAAUGACGGUACCUGAUGAAUAAGCCCCGGCUAACUCCGUG